AUGGAUUGUAACUUGAAAGCAAUUUUUUGGAACGUUCGUGGUCUUAACUCUGGCACUAAACGCACGGCCGUCCACAGCGUGAUCUCCGCUGCCGCACCUGGCAUCGUAUGUCUCCAAGAGACAAAGCUCGCUCAUGUCUCCGACGCCAUUGUCUUGGACACGCUCGGUCCAUCUUUCGAGGACUACUUCUUCCUCCCCGCGGCUAGCACACGCGGUGGCAUCCUCCUUGCUUGGCAACGCUCUACCAUCUCUAUUUCCAAUCCCCUCAUCGGCGAGCACCAUGUUACGGCCUUGGUCACUUCCCUGGCCAGGGAUGGUCAUUGGUGGCUCACGGGUGUGUACGGGCCUCAAGACGACGAUGCCAAACUAGAGUUCCUUUCCGAGUUGCACGACGUGCGCGAGUCCCGCAUCGGUCCAUGGCUUAUUGGUGGAGAUUUUAACAUGAUCACUUCGGCCUCGGAGAAGAACAACUCAAACAUCAACCGUCGCACCAUGAACAGAUUUAGGCGCUUCAUCGCCAAUGAGGAGCUUCGUGAUCUCUACAUGCACGGGCGGCGAUAUACUUGGUCCAAUGAGUGCGACACCCCGACGCUUGUUCGGAAUGACCGCAUCCUUUGCACCUUCGGUUGGGAGAUUGCCCACCCGCACUGUUUGCUCCACCGCCUCUCCUCCGCGGCCUCCGACCACUACCCGCUCCUGGUUGACUGCGUGGCCCGCCCACCGGGAGCACGACAUUUCCACUUCGAGAGAUUCUGGCCGAAGUUGGAAGGUUUUCACUAG
rnacentral:rRNA from 1 species